GCUUUCCCUCCAGAGUGGAUCCUGAGUACGGCGGAACACGUGAAAUUCCGUCGGAAUCCGGGAGGACCAUCUCCCAAGGCUAAAUACUCCCUAGUGACCGAUAGUGAACCAGUACCGUGAGGGAAAGGUGAAAAGCACCCCGGAAGGGGAGUGAAACAGUUCCUGAAACCGUGUGCCUACAAGUAGUUAGAGCCCGUUAAUGGGUGAUAGCGUGCCUUUUGUAGAAUGAACCGGCGAGUUACGAUUUGUUGCAAGGUUAAGCGGAAAAAGCGGAGCCGUAGCGAAAGCGAGUCUGAAUAGGGCGCAUAAGUAACAGGUCGUAGACCCGAAACCAGGUGAUCUACCCAUGUCCAGGAUGAAGGUAAGGUAAUACUUACUGGAGGUCCGAACCCACGCACGUUGAAAAGUGCGGGGAUGAGGUGUGGGUAGCGGAGAAAUUCCAAUCGAACUUGGAGAUAGCUGGUUCUCUCCGAAAUAGCUUUAGGGCUAGCCUCGAGGUAAAGAGUCAUGGAGGUAGAGCACUGUUUGGACUAGGGGCCCUUCUCGGGUUACCGAAUUCAGAUAAACUCCGAAUGCCAUGUACUUAUACUCGGGAGUCAGACUGCGAGUGAUAAGAUCCGUAGUCGAAAGGGAAACAGCCCAGACCACCAGUUAAGGUCCCCAAAUAUAUGUUAAGUGGAAAAGGAUGUGGGGUUGCUUAGACAACCAGGAUGUUGGCUUAGAAGCAGCCACCAUUGAAAGAGUGCGUAAUAGCUCACUGGUCGAGUGACCCCGCGCCGAAAAUGUACCGGGGCUAAACAUAUUACCGAAACUGUGGAUGAACCUCUUUAGAGGUUCGUGGUAGGAGAGCGUUCUAAGGGCGGUGAAGUCAGACCGGAAGGACUGGUGGAGCGCUUAGAAGUGAGAAUGCCGGUAUGAGUAGCGAAAGAAGGGUGAGAAUCCCUUCCACCGAAUAUCUAAGGUUUCCUGAGGAAGGCUCGUCCGCUCAGGGUUAGUCGGGACCUAAGCCGAGGCCGAUAGGCGUAGGCGAUGGACAACAGGUAGAGAUUCCUGUACCAGUGCUAAUUGUUUAACCGAUGGGGUGACACAGAAGGAUAGGGAAUCGCACGAAUGGAAAUGUGCGUCCAAGCAGUGAGUGUGAGAAGUAGGCAAAUCCGCUUCUCGCGAAGCAUGAGCUGUGAUGGGGAAGGAAAUUAAGUACGGAAGUUCCUGAUUUCACGCUGUCAAGAAAAGCCUCUAGGAAGAGUAGUACUGCCCGUACCGCAAACCGACACAGGUAGAUGAGGAGAGAAUCCUAAGGUGAGCGAGAGAACUCUCGUUAAGGAACUCGGCAAAAUGACCCCGUAACUUCGGGAGAAGGGGUGCUCUAUUAGGGUGCAAGCCCGAGAGAGCCGCAGUGAAUAGGCCCAGGCGACUGUUUAGCAAAAACACAGGUCUCUGCAAAACCGUAAGGUGACGUAUAGGGGCUGACGCCUGCCCGGUGCUGGAAGGUUAAGAGGAGUGCUUAGCUUCGGCGAAGGUACGAAUUGAAGCCCCAGUAAACGGCGGCCGUAACUAUAACGGUCCUAAGGUAGCGAAAUUCCUUGUCGGGUAAGUUCCGACCCGCACGAAAGGCGCAACGAUCUGGGCACUGUCUCAACGAGAGACUCGGUGAAAUUAUAGUACCUGUGAAGAUGCAGGUUACCCGCGACAGGACGGAAAGACCCCGUGGAGCUUUACUGCAACCUGAUAUGGAAUGUUUGUACCGCUUGUACAGGAUAGGUAGGAGCCGAAGAGACGUGUGCGCUAGCAUACGAGGAGGCAAUGGUGGGAUACUACCCUGGCUGUA
rnacentral:rRNA from 1 species